CAACGCCUCAUCUGUGUCGCAUCAGGAUCAAAGUCUGGACUCCACCGGGGCUGUUUCAGGAAACUCAGCUUCUUUUUGUCAGUCAUCUGGCUGGAUUUCACUUGAGGACUGUUGGGGCCAUAAUCCAGAAGUGGAAAGAGCAUCAUUUCACCAUAAACCAGCCAUGACCAGGUGCUCCUCGCAAGAUUUCUAACAGAGGAGUGAAAAGAAUUAUCAGAAGAGUUGUCGAAGAGCCAAGGACCACUUGCGGAGAGCUUCAGAAAGACCUGGAAUUAGCAGGUACAACUGUUUCAAAGAAAACAAUAAGUAAUGCCCACGACCACCGUGGCCUGUACGCGAGCUCACCAUGCAAGACUCCAUUGCUGAAGAUAAAGCAUGUUGAAGCUCGUUUAAAGUUUGCUGCACAACAUUUAGAUAAGCCUGUGAAAUACUGGGAGAAUAUAGUCUGGUCAGAUGAGACCAAGAUUGAACUCUUUGGAUGCCAUAAUACACACCAUGUUUGGAGGUCAACUGGCAAUGCACAUCACCCCAAAAACACCAUACCAACAGUGAAGCCCGAAGGUGGGAACAUCAUGGUAUGGGGCUGUUUUUCACCACACAGCACUGGCAAACUUCAUAUAAUUGAAGGAAGGAUGAAUGGACAAAUGUACCGAGACAUUCUUGAUAAAAAUCUGCUGCCAUCUACCAGGAUGAUGAAGAUGAAACAAGGGUGGACAUUUCGCCAAGACAAUGAUCCCAAACACACAGCCAAGGAAACUCUCAAUUGGUUUCAGAGAAAGAAAAUAAAGCUGCUAGAAUGGCCCAGCCAAUCACCUGACUUAAAGCCAAUAGGAAAUCUAUGGGAAGAACUAAAGAUCAGAGUUUAUAGAAGGAACCCACGGAACCUUCAAGAUUUGAAGACUGUGUGGAAGAAUGGGCCAAAAUCACACCUGAGCAAUGCAAGCGACUAGCUUCUCCAUACAGGAGGUGUCUUGAAGCUGCCAUUGCCAACAAAGUGUUAAAUACAGUUCAAUGUGGCCAGUUUCAUUCAUGCACCUGAGCUUACCUGACUCCAGCUGAGAGGUGCCCUGCCCUCAUGUAAGCACCAGUAAUGAACAUAGCCUGCAGCUAAACACCUUGUUACA